AAAAAAAGAAAAAAGAAAAAAGAAAAAACCUGACUGAAAAAUAGGAUCAAAGAUUCUGGGAAUCAAAGAGAAUUAUUGGAUCUAGGAAAACCUCCUGCAAAUCCUGAGAACAGAAGAUGUUUCCUGUCAGAGAUGCUGAGUUAGAGAGCCUGAGGGGCAGAGGGUAGACCAAGCUCAGCUCUAACUGUAAACAUACUGUACAGGGUACCAAAGGAACAAAGCCUGGCUAACUGAAGGCUAUGAUGGGAUAUAAAGAAAACCCACAAGUAAAACUGCUUCUUGAUGAAAUGCUGAAAACAAAUCCAAAAAAAUUCUGGACGUUAUUUGGAAUAAAUGGAACAAUCUGUUGAUUCCUUGAGUUGAAGCUCUCCCUGGAAAUGAAAUAGGGUUGAAAUUUCUGACUGCAUUAAAUCACUGAGGCUCAAGUCACAGUACAUUUCAGUAGAAGCCAAUGCCGGGAUUUUACUGAAGCUGGUAAGGAGAAGAGGUCUCAUAAGAUUUACCUAACUCAUGCAGUGGGACAUGGAGCUGCUGCUGUGAAAUUCAAAGAACUUGAAGGUAUCAAAACAGACAGAUGGCUACCAGUGGGUUUAGUAUUUGAUAUCAAGCACAGUUCUGAUGAAUUCUG
ensembl:lncRNA